GACGAACGCUGGCGGCGUGCCUAAUACAUGCAAGUCGAACGCAGUGGGGACGGGUGAGUAACACGUGGGUAACCUCCCCUAAGAGGGGAUAACACUUGGAAAAACGUGCUAAACAGAUACGGAUGGAUGAACCCGCGGUGGAUUAGCUAGUGGGUGAGGUAACGGCUCACCAAGGCCACGAUGCAUCCCCGCCCUGAGAGGAUGAUCUGCCACACGGGGACUGAGACACGUCCCAGACUCCUACGGGAGGCAGCAGGAGCGAAUGUUCAGCAAUGGACGAAAUUCUGACCUAGCAACUCCGCGUGAGUGAAGAAGGUUUUCGGAUCGUAAAACUCUGUUGGUAUAGAAGCGGUACCUAACGAGAAAGCACCGGCUAACUACGUGCCAGCAGCCGCGGUAAUAC
rnacentral:rRNA from 1 species